rnacentral:misc_RNA from 1 species
AGAGUUUGUAACACCCAAAGUCGGUGGGGUAACCUUUUAGGAACUAGCCGCCUAAGGUGGGACAGAUGAUUAGGGUGAAGUCGUAACAAGGUAGCCGUAGGAGAACCUGCGGCUGGAUCACCUCCUUUCUAAGGAAUAUUACGGAAACCUACACACGCGUCGAAACUUUGUUUAGUUUUGAGAGAUUUAACUCUCAAAACUUGUUCUUUGAAAACUAGAUAAUAUCAAAUAUAUUUUUUCAUAAUGAAACCGAGAACACCGCGUUUUUUGAGUUUUUUAUUGAAGCUUUAAUUAUCGUCUAAACUCAUUAAUCUGCAUUUACCGUUAGGUAAAUGAGGUUAAGUUAACAAGGGCGCAUGGUGAAUGCCUUGGCACUAGGAGCCGAUGAAGGACGGGACUAACACCAAUAUGCUUCGGGGAGCUGUACGUAAGCUAUGAUCCGGAUAUUUCCGAAUGGGCAACCCAGCAGUUUUAAUCAACGUGUUACCACUAGAGAAUUCAAGUCUAGUUGGAGGUAA